rnacentral:pre_miRNA from 1 species
UGUGUACUCCCUCCUUUCCAAAAUACUUGACUUCCAUUUGUCCAAAAAUGGAUGUGCCUAUAUACUAAAACAUGUCUAGAUACAUAUAUAUUUUGACAAAUAGAAGGCAUGUAUUGUGCAACGGAGGGAGUAGAAU